rnacentral:rRNA from 1 species
GAGUUUGAUCAUGGCUCAGGAUGAACGCUGGCGGUAUGCCUUACACAUGCAAGUCGUACGAGAGUUUUUAACUCAAGUGGCGGACGGGUGAGUAACACGUAAGAAUUUGCCUUUAGGAGGGGGACAACAACUGGAAACGGUUGCUAAUACCCCAUAUGCUUUCGAGUGAAACGGAUUUUUCCGCCUAAAGAGAAGCUUGCGGCUGAUUAGCUUGUUGGUGAGGUAAUGGCUCACCAAGGCGACGAUCAGUAUCUGGUUUGAGAGGACGAUCAGACACACUGGAACUGAGACACGGUCCAGACUCCUACGGGAGGCAGCAGUGGGGAAUUUUCCGCAAUGGGCGAAAGCCUGACGGAGCAAUACCGCGUGAGGGAUGACGGCCUAUGGGUUGUAAACCUCUUUUUUCAGGGAGGAAUAAAA